GGGGAUGUUACGGAUUCGUCACGGUUUUAAAGGUAACAUAAGCAUGUCUUGGUGGUGCAAGUAAAAACACACGAGGUUCUAAAUAACCGGAAACCAAAAUUUACAAUUCGCUGCUUAAGAAAAAGUGCGAGCCAACUCUAAGUUUUCUUACGACCUAGACUACGGCCCAAUUUAGUAAGAUAUAUUUAGUUGUUGCCACCUUAAGCAACUAGAUGAAUUAAUAGGGUUAGUCUAAUAGAAAUAUGUCGUUCUAUGUCUAUUAGAUGAAUAUAACUGAGCGACUAAACAUGUAGAAAGUGUUACAGUUUAGGAUCUUGCACAGGGGUUCAAAUCCCCUCAUCUCCACCA
rfam:complete chromosome Acholeplasma brassicae.